CCUACGGGUGGCAGCAGUGAGGAAUAUUGGUCAAUGGACGAGAGUCUGAACCAGCCAAGUAGCGUGAAGGAUGACUGCCCUAUGGGUUGUAAACUUCUUUUAUAUGGGAAUAAAAUGUUCCACGUGUGGGCUUUUGUAUGUACCAUAUGAAUAAGGAUCGGCUAACUCCGUGCCAGCAGCCGCGGUAAUACGGAGGAUCCGAGCGUUAUCCGGCAUUAUUGGGUUUAAAGGGAGCGUAGGUGGAUUGUUAAGUCAGUUGUGAAAGUUUGCGGCUCAACCGUAAAAUUGCAGUUGAAACUGGCAGUCUUGAGUACAGUAGAGGUGGGCGGAAUUCGUGGUGUAGCGGUGAAAUGCUUAGAUAUCACGAAGAACUCCGAUUGCGAAGGCAGCUCACUGGACUGCAACUGACACUGAGGCUCGAAAGUGUGGGUAUCAAACAGGAUUAGAUACCCUUGUAGUC
rnacentral:rRNA from 1 species